rnacentral:lncRNA from 1 species
GGCCUACAGUACUGGAGACAUGAAAACAUAGUGGAGGCCUACAGACUGGAGUCAUGACAACAUAGGGGGGGCCUACAGACUGGAGACAUGACAACAUAGUGGAGGCCUACCGACUGGAGACAUGACAACAUAGUGGAGGACUACGGACUGGGGACAUGACAACAUAGUGGAAGACUACAGACUGGAGACAUUACACCAUAGUCAAGGCCUAGAGACUGGAGACAUGACAUCACGGUAGAGGGCUACGAACUGGAGACAUUACAACAUAGUGGAGAGCUACAGACUGGAGACAUGACAACAUAGUGGAGGCCUACAGACUGGAGACAUGACAUCAUAGCGGAGGCCUACAGACUGGAGACAUGACAUCAUAGUGGAGGACUACAGACUGGAGACAUGACAAGAUAGUGGAGGCCUACCGACUGGAGACAUGACAACAUAGUGGAGGACUACGGACUGGGGACAUGACAACAUAGUGGAAGACUACAGACAUGGCAACAUAGUGGAGGCCUACAGACUGGACACAUUACAAAAUAGUGAAGACUAACAGACUGGAGACAGGACAACAUAGUGGAGGCCUACAGACUGGAGACAUUACAUCAUAGUGGAGGCCUACAGACUGGAGACAUUACAUCAUAGUGGAGGCCUACAGACUGGAGACAUUACAUCAUAGUGGAGGACUACGGACUGGGGACAUGACAUUAUAGUGGAAGACUACAGACAUGGCAACAUAGUGGAGGCCUACAGACUGGACACAUUACAAAAUAGUGAAGACUAACAGACUGGAGACAGGACAACAUAGUGGAUGCCUACAGACUGGAGACAAGACAACAAAGUGGAUGCCUACAGACUGGAGACAUGACAUCAUAGCGGAGGCCUACAGACUGGAGACAUGACAUCAUAGCGGAGGCCUACAGACUGGAGACAUGACAUCAUAGUGGAGGCCUACAGACUGGAGACAUUACAAAAUAGUGGAGGACUACAGAUUGGAGACAUUACAAAAUAGUAGAGGGCUACAAACUCGAGACAUUACAACAUAGUGGAGAACUACAGACUGGAGUCAUGACAACAUAGUGGAGGCCUGCAGAUUGGGGAUAUGACAACAUAGUGGAGGCCUACAGACUGGAGACAUUACAAAAUAGUAGAGGGCUACAAACUCGAGACAUUACAACAUAGUGGAGAACUACAGACUGGAGUCAUGACAACAUAGUGGAGGCCUGCAGACUGGGG